GUUGAACGCUGGCGGCAGGCCUAACACAUGCAAGUCGAGCGAGCGGCGGACGGGUGAGUAAUGUCUGGGAAACUGCCUGAUGGAGGGGGAUAACUACUGGAAACGGUAGCUAAUACCGCAUACCAUCAGAUGUGCCCAUAUGGUAUUAGCUAGUAGGUGGGGGAAAGGCUCACCUAGGCGACGCUCCCUAGCUGGGCUGAGAGGAUGACCAGCCACACUGGAACUGAGACACGGUUCAGACUCCUACGGUAGGCAGCAGUGGGGAAUAUUGCACAAUGGGCGCAAGCCUGAUUCAGCCAUGCCGCGUGUUUGAAGAAGGCCUUCGGGUUGUACAGCACUUUCAGCGAGGAGGCGUUACUCGCAGAAGAAGCACCGGCUAACUCCGUGCCAGCAGCCGCGGUAAUAC
rnacentral:rRNA from 1 species